GACGAACGCUGGCGGCGUGCUUAACACAUGCAAGUGGAGCGACGAACCAGGGCUUGCCCUGGGGCAGAGCCGCGAACGGGUGAGUAACACGUGGGUAACGUGCCCCGAUGACUGGGACAACCCGGGGAAACCCGGGCUAAUACCGGAUGUGCCCCCUCACAUCCGUGAGGUGUGUAAAGGAAGCUUCGGCCUCCGCAUCGGGAUCGGCCCGCGGCCCAUUAGCUUGUUGGUGAGGUAACGGCUCACCAAGGCUGCGAUGGGUAGCUGGUCUGAGAGGACGAUAAGCCACACUGGGACUGAGACGGGGCCAAGACGCCUACGAGAGGCAGCAGUGGGGAAUCUUGCGCAAAGCGCGAAAGCGUGACGCAGCAACGCCGCGUGGGGGAAGACGGCCUUCGGGUUGUAAACCCCUUUCAGUGGGGACGAAGGUCGGGCGGUUAACAGCCGUUCCGGCUGACGGUACCUGCACAAGAAGCCCCGGCUAACUACGUG
rnacentral:rRNA from 1 species